CUGUGAGCAGGACAGAACAAAUUAUGGGGCUCCUCAGGCAGGGAGAGAAUUUCACAGCUCAUUGACUGCUCUGACUCCUAAUCUACACCGAGGAAACAAUGUUGCAGCUCAUCAAAUGCAAUCAGCUGCUAAUUGAAAGGAAAUGGAAUUUUACAAUUACAGGCCACCUUUCAGUGCUCAGGAUUUCUAAGCACUUCUCCCCACCUUCCUUUGCCAGCUCAGCACUGGCAGGAGCACUUGACAACCUGCUAGAGACUUCCCUAAAAGCUGCAUUUAGGACCUGGCCCGUUCUCCCCAGCUCCAGAGCAGCAGCAAAGGGAAGCAGCGUCCUCGCCAAUACCUGGGCUGUCCUUCAAGGCUCAGUGCAAGGAAAAACACCUGGGUUGGACAUCAGAUAAGGAAAUUGAGACUCAAAGAGGACCCCCAUGGAGAAAGUAAUGAAGCUUGAAUUUAGACCCAAGAUCAUGUCCCUUUCACUUCCUCAGCCUGCCCAGGAAGUUUAUAGCGUGCUCAUGCCACAAACCCUGGAGCUGGAUACGCGCUCAAUUGGCUUGAAGACCUUGGGACUUGAAUUGAAACAUCAGCUCUUCCUGGGUCUCAAGUUUGCUGGCCUUUGGACUAGAACCAAACCAUUGACUCUCCUGGGUGUUCGGCCUGCCUAACUUACCCUGGGACUUGCCAGCCCUGUAAACAUGUAGUGCUGACUUCCAGACCACUGAGGUCACCUGCAUAAGCGAGUCUGGCAACAAAUAAUCGUCUUCCAGAAAAUGACCAGAAACUCAGCCUGCUUUUUGUCAUUUCACCAGCCCCACCAUCUUUCCUUUAUUCUAGAGCUCCUGGCACACUUACAUGAAUCUCUUGAAAGAAGAGAAAUGAGAGCAUUCAUUCCAUACUAAUACAAUUGUGCCCUAUGGAAAGGCUUUUUGCUGGCAGACAUAGUAGACGGACCAUUUCCCAACUUCUUUUUCUUUGCCACCUUCCAGCCAAAGGUGUCCAUAUGACACAGCUCUGGACAGGAUAAUUGGAAGUCUGUUGUGGGAUUUCUGAGAAAGCUUUUGAUUUUCUGACAGAGACAUUUUUGCUUCCCCUUACCACUUCCUACUGGAUUACAGAUGUGAUGGAAAGAGCUGCAGCAGCCAUAAUACAACCAUAAAGGAGAGGAGAAGAGAAUUGCAAAGGCAUCAACCCACAUUGAAUUGAACUGCUAAGUUAACACUAGCAGUUACUUGCCUCCAGAUAUCUUGGUGUGUGAGAACAUUAAAUCUGUAUGUGUCUAAAUCAGUAUGGGUGAACAUUUCUGUCACUAAAGUCAAAAGCAUCCCUGAAACAGUGCAUGAUUCCAUAUGACCCUUACCACAACCCUGGUAAAUAGGUAUAAUUAUCCUUCAUUUAAACAUGACGAAAUUAAAGUUGGGAGAAACUGACUAUACAAAAGUCAUUA
rnacentral:lncRNA from 1 species